UACGUAGGGCGCAAGCGUUGUCCGGAAUUAUUGGGCGUAAAGAGCUCGUAGGCGGUUUGUCGCGUCUGGUGUGAAACUCAAAGGCUCAAACCUUGAGCUUGCAUCGGGUACGGGCAGACUAGAGUGCGGUAGGGGUGACUGGAAUCCUGGUGUAGCGGUGGAAUGCGCAGAGUAUCAGGAGGAACACCGAUGGCGAAGGCAGGUCACUGGGCCGCAACUGACGCUGGAGGAGCGAAAGCAUGGG
rnacentral:rRNA from 1 species